CUCACCUGGACAGCAUGUAUGCAAGGGCAGGGCAGCCUAAUCUGGGCAGGCUGCUCAGUCAGGAAGGCUGCCACCACACCAAAAAGUGGGGCUGGAAAGAGAUUGCUACUUCAGAAGUUUUCUGAAACAGUUCAUUCUGCUUCCUUGUCAUCAUAAUUCAUCAUAAUUAUGGACCCUGAGAAGAACGCAAGAAAGGAGGUGCCCAAGCCAGGGGAGAGCAUAACGUCAGCUCCCAUAGAGACCAGCACUGGUCUGUGAGGACUUUUGGGGCAACCUCUCCCCCCACCUUCCCAGGAGUACUGAAAGACCUGUGUGCCCUGAGAGGAAGGCAAGAAAGGAGGCACC